GAUAAACGCUGGCGGCGCACAUAAGACAUGCAAGUCGAACGGACUUAACUCGAAGUUUACUUUGAGAGCGGUUAGUGGCGGACUGGUGAGUAACACGUAAGCAACCUGCCUAUCAGAGGGGAAUAACAGUGAGAAAUCAUUGCUAAUACCGCAUAUGCUCACAGUAUCACAUGAUACAGUGAGGAAAGGAGUAAUCCACUGAUAGAUGGGCUUGCGUCUGAUUAGCUAGUUGGUGAGAUAACAGCCCACCAAGGCGACGAUCAGUAGCCGACCUGAGAGGGUGAUCGGCCACAUUGGGACUGGGACACGGCCCAA
rnacentral:rRNA from 1 species